AACGAACGCUGGCGGCAGGCUUAACACAUGCAAGUCGAGCGCCCCGCAAGGGGAGCGGCAGACGGGUGAGUAACGCGUGGGAAUCUACCCAUCUCUACGGAAUAACGCAUGGAAACGUGUGCUAAUACCGUAUACGUCAUUAGGGAGAAAGAUUUAUCGGAGAUGGAUGAGCCCGCGUUGGAUUAGCUAGUUGGUGGGGUAAAGGCCUACCAAGGCGACGAUCCAUAGCUGGUCUGAGAGGAUGAUCAGCCACACUGGGACUGAGACACGGCCCAGACUCCUACGGGAGGCAGCAGUGGGGAAUAUUGGACAAUGGGCGCAAGCCUGAUCCAGCCAUGCCGCGUGAGUGAUGAAGGCCCUAGGGUUGUAAAGCUCUUUCACCGGUGAAGAUAAUGACGGUAACCGGAGAAGAAGCCCCGGCUAACUUCGUGCCAGCCGCCGCAGUAACAC
rnacentral:rRNA from 1 species